CACGGACCGCACGAACGUUAUUCGGUAUCACUGGGCUUAAAGGGUGCGUAGGCGGCUUUGCAAGUUGGGUGUGAAAGCCCUCGGCUCAACCGAGGAAUUGCGCUCAAUACUGCCGAGCUCGAGAGAGACAGAGGUAAGCGGAACUAAUGGUGGAGCGGUGAAAUGCGUUGAUAUCAUUAGGAACACCGGUGGCGAAGGCGGCUUACUGGGUCUUUUCUGACGCUGAG
rnacentral:rRNA from 1 species